rnacentral:rRNA from 1 species
CCUACGGGAGGCAGCAGUGAGGAAUAUUGGUCAAUGGGCGCGAGCCUGAACCAGCCAAGUAGCGUGCAGGAUGACGGCCAUAUGGGUUGUAAACUGCUUUUAUGCGGGGAUAAAGUCAGCUACGUGUAGCUGUUUGUAGGUACCGCAUGAAUAAGGACCGGCUAAUUCCGUGCCAGCAGCCGCGGUAAU